rnacentral:rRNA from 1 species
AUUGAACGCUGGCGGCAGGCCUAACACAUGCAAGUCGAACGGUAACAGGAAGCAGCUUGCUGCUUUGCUGACGAGUGGCGGACGGGUGAGUAAUGUCUGGGAAACUGCCUGAUGGGAGGGGGAUAACUACUGGAAACGGUAGCUAAUACCGCAUAACGUCGCAAGACCAAAGAGGGGGACCUUCGGGCCUCUUGCCAUCGGAUGUGCCCAGAUGGGAUUAGCUAGUAGGUGGGGUAACGGCUCACCUAGGCGACGAUCCCUAGCUGGUCUGAGAGGAUGACCAGCCACACUGGAACUGAGACACGGUCCAGACUCCUACGGGAGGCAGCAGUGGGGAAUAUUGCACAAUGGGCGCAAGCCUGAUGCAGCCAUGCCGCGUGUAUGAAGAAGGCCUUCGGGUUGUAAAGUACUUUCAGCGGGGAGGAAGGGAGUAAAGUUAAUACCUUUGCUCAUUGACGUUACCCGCAGAAGAAGCACCG